rnacentral:lncRNA from 1 species
CCCUGAACUUUAGCGGAAGCUUACCAACCACUUGCACAGAUCCGCCGUGUACACAACCACCUCUAGUGUAUACCAGACGUCUACAAUCAAUAUAGCAAAAGUAUAACUUCUUAACCAGGUAAUCAGAGCAAAACUAAAACUUCAUAACUUUAUACCAAAACAAUACCAAAUUACAGUUUAGAAGUAAAGUACAAAGUACAUUCUAAAUAGUCCCAAAA